UACGUAGGGUGCGAGCGUUUGUCCGGAAUUAUUGGGCGUAAAGGGCUCGUAGGCGGUUUGUCGCGUUCGGGAGUGAAAACUCAGGGCUUAACCCUGAGCCUGCUUCCGAUACGGGCAGACUAGAGGUAUGCAGGGGAGAACGGAAUUCCUGGUGUAGCGGUGAAAUGCGCAGAUAUCAGGAGGAACACCGGUGGCGAAGGCGGUUCUCUGGGCAUUACCUGACGCUGAGGAGCGAAAGUGUGGGGAGCGAACAGG
rnacentral:rRNA from 1 species